UACGUAGGGGGCAAGCGUUGUCCGGAAUCAUUGGGCGUAAAGAGCGUGUAGGCGGUUCGGUAAGUCCGCUGUAAAAGUCCAGGGCUCAACCCUGGAAAGCCGGUGGAAACUGUCGAACUAGAGUCCGGAAGAGGCGAGUGGAAUUCCUGGUGUAGCGGUGAAAUGCGCAGAUAUCAGGAGGAACACCAAUGGCGAAGGCAAUGUUCUGGCUCGUUUCUGACGCUCAGGUGCGAAAGCCAGGGGAGCGAACGGG
rnacentral:rRNA from 1 species